rnacentral:rRNA from 1 species
AGCAGUAGCCGCGGGAAUACGAAGGGGGCUAGCGUUGCUCGGAAUCACUGGGCGUAAAGGGUGCGUAGGCGGGUCUUUAAGUCAGGGGUGAAAUCCUGGAGCUCAACUCCAGAACUGCCUUUGAUACUGAAGAUCUUGAGUUCGGGAGAGGUGAGUGGAACUGCAAGUGUAGAGGUGAAAUUCGUAGAUAUUCGCAAGAACACCAGUGGCGAAGGCGGCUCACUGGCCCGAUACUGACGCUGAGGCACGAAAGCGUGGGGAGCAAACAGGAUUAGAGACCCCCGUAGUCCCUGUCUCUUAUAC